CAGCUAGUUGGCAGGGUAAGAGCCUACCAAGGCAUAGAUCGGUAGCCGGCCUGAGAGGGCACACGGCCACACUGGCACUGAAACACGGGCCAGACUCCUACGGGAGGCAGCAGUGGGGAAUCUUGCACAAUGGGGGAAACCCUGAUGCAGCGACGCCGUGUGAGCGAUGAAGCCCUUCGGGGUGUAAAGCUCUUUCGGCAGGGAAGAUAGUGACGGUACCUGCAGAAGCAGCUGCGGCUAACUACGUGCCAGCAGCCGCGGUAAUACGUAGGCAGCGAGCGUUGUUCGGAGUUACUGGGCGUAAAGGGUGUGUAGGCGGUUGUUUAAGUUUGGUGUGAAAUCUCCCGGCUCAACUGGGAGGGUGCGCCGAAUACUGAGCGACUAGAGUGCGGGAGAGGAAAGUGGAAUUCCUGGUGUAGCGGUGAAAUGCGUAGAUAUCAGGAGGAACACCGGUGGUGUAGACGGCUUUCUGGACCGUAACUGACGCUGAGACACGAAAGCGUGGGUAGCAAACAGGAUUAGAUACCCUGGUAGUCCACGCCCUAAACGAUGCAUAUUUGGUGUGGGCAGUUCAUUCUGUCCGUGCCGGAGCUAACGCGUUAAAUAUGCCGCCUGGGGAGUACAGUCGCAAGGCUGAAACUCAAAGGAAUUGACGG
rnacentral:rRNA from 1 species